rnacentral:rRNA from 1 species
AUGCUCGAGGAUGCAGCCGGCGUUGGGGAGGAGUCACGCGGCGCUGCUGCCGGGUGUGGGAGGGAGGACGAAAAGGGUGUGGAGGGCGAGGUCGCUGCCGGAGCUCUGCGGAAGCGAGGUCCGGGGAUCGGGUUGCUGGAGGAAGGGAGGAGGCGCUGGCAAAGUGCUGCAGGUACACCACUAAAGAUGGAUUGGUGGCAGGUGGCUGCGGUGGCCUCAUACCCGGCAGGCAUCCUGGUUGAGGAGUGCGCCGGACUGGUGGGUGCCCCAUACCCGGCAGGCGUCCUGGUUGGGACCUCAGGUCUUAGAUGUUAG